UCCGGUUGAUCCCGCCGGACCCUACUGCUAUCGGGGUGGGACUAAGACAUGCGUGUCGAACGACCCCAAGCCAACAUGAGGUCGUGGCAUACGGCUCAGUAACACGUGGCUAACCUACCCUCGAGACAGGGACAACCCCGGGAAACUGGGGCUAAUCCCAGAUAGAUGAGAACCCCUGGAAUGGGUUUUCGUCCAAAAGGCACUGCGGUUAUGCUCUGCAGUGUCGCUCAAGGAUGGGGCCGCGUCCGAUCAGGCUGUUGGUGAGGCAAUGGCUCACCAAACCUAUAACCGGUACGGGCCGUGGGAGCGGGAGCCCGGAGAUGGGAACUGAGACAAGGUCCCAGGCCCUACGGGGCGCAGCAGUUACGAAAACUUGUCAAUGCACGAAAGUGUGAACGGGCUACCCCGAGUGCCGUCCGCUGAGGAUGGCUUUUCUCUGCUGUAAGAAGGCAGAGGAAUAAGGCGAGGGCAAGUCUGGUGUCAGCCGCCGCGGUAAUACCAGCUCGCCGAGUGGUAGGGAUGAUUAUUGGGCCUGAAGCGUCCGUAGCCGGUCUUUCAAGUCUCUUGUUAAAUCCAACGAUUCAAUCGCUGGACUGCAGGAGAUACUGUUAGGCUAGGGGGCGGGAGAAGCCGACGGUAUUUUCGGGGUAGGGGUAAAAUCCUAUAAUCCCGGGAAGACCACCAGUGGCGUAGGCGGUCGGCUAGCACGCGCUCGACGGUGAGGGACGAAAGCUGGGGGAGCGAACCGGAUUAGAUACCCGGGUAGUUUCAGCUGUAAACGAUGCUGGCUAGGUGUUGAAGCGGCUACGAGCCGCUUCAGUGCCGCAGGGAAGCCAUUAAGCCAGCCGCCUGGGGAGUACGGCCGCAAGGCUGAAACUUAAAGGAAUUGGCGGGGGAGCCCCCCAAGGGGUGAAGCUUGCGGUUUAAUUGGAUUCAACGCCGGG
rnacentral:rRNA from 1 species